UGGGCGCGCCAACUUGUCGGGCUCCAGCCUCACGUCAGGUCGGUGAGCUACUGUAGCAACCGACUUCUCUUUUCCUGUAGAUAAGUUGCUGUGGGGAGGCCUGCACUCCAGGCACCUCCAAAAUUCCUGGCAUAUGCGGUCAAAGUUAGUGUUGAAGCGCUCCCUCCAGGCCUCCGGGCUCUUCUGGGGCUUCAGUGGUAGUGGCUCGGUGACCAUCUUGGAUUCAGCUUGCGGUCUACAUUCAGGCUGGGCACUCUCCCGUUGCUGGUGUGAGAGUUUCUCCAGCGGGGACCGGGAUGACCCCCACCGGUCCAUGGGGGGGGGAUGCGGCAUCGGGAUGGUUGCCGCUUUGUGCGGUCCCCACGCUAGGCCUCAGUGUGGGAUGCUUUAUGGCUC